rnacentral:lncRNA from 1 species
CCUGGGUGUGGGGUGAGGGGGACUCUAGUGCUGGAGGCUGCCCAGGGCCUUGAGAGCCAGACAUCGAGUGUGGAGGACACCCUGGAGGAGGAGACGGAACCCUCCUGUUUGCUGGGGCUCGGCCCCCGGCGAGGCUGGCCGCAGGUGACCACAGAGACCUAGCCUGGUGUCGUGCGGCCGCUGGGUCUGUGAAGGGGAGUGAGGCACUCCUCACCCUGUGGCAGCUCCUAGUCAGGAGGCCUCUCCCCUCCACCUGCACGUCAUGUGGCUGUGGCUCCCAGGACCAGCGCCUGGAGCGGGUGAGUGAACGUCCCUCUCCUCCGUCGGCACUGCCUCCGCUGUGAGCCACCCUUCAGGCUACGUGCAUUUCCGACUGUUCUCAGGGUUUAACCGAAACCGAACAUUAACCGUAGCCCUAACGAAAAGGAGUGGGAUCCAGGCCUUGCCCUCUGGGCCGUGUGAGAGACAGACACUCGCCAACCAGUCCGCAGUGGCUCCCCGUGUGUGCGAGGCUCCCGCCUGCGUGUGUGCGUGUGCAUGUGUGCCUGCACACAGGGGAGGGAAAGUUCUUCAGCUGCCGAGGGUGGGAGUAGGGGCUGGAGCAGCACCCUGCGGCGAGGCCCCACAGGAGAAUCGAUGGUUCUGAUGCUGUCAGCCUCUGGGUGCAAAUUCUGAGGGCCCAGGAGCGUCUGGCGGCCCUGAGCAGCUUGCUGGGGAAGCUCCGUG